CAGCCGCCGCGGUAAUGCGAAGGGGGCUAGCGUUGCUCGGAAUUACUGGGCGUAAAGGGCGCGUAGGCGGACAUUUAAGUCAGAGGUGAAAGCCCAGGGCUCAACCUUGGAACUGCCUUUGAUACUGGGUGUCUAGAGUGCGGGAGAGGUGUGUGGAACUCCGAGUGUAGAGGUGAAAUUCGUAGAUAUUCGGAAGAACACCAGUGGCGAAGGCGACACACUGGCCCGUAACUGACGCUGAGGCGCGAAAGCGUGGGGAGCAAACAGGAUUAGAUACCCGCGUAGUCCCUGUCUCUUAUAC
rnacentral:rRNA from 1 species